rnacentral:rRNA from 1 species
GAUGAACGCUGGCGGCGUGCUUAACACAUGCAAGUCGAACGGACUUCUUAUUGACAGAGGCUUCGGCCAAAGAAGAUCUGAAGUUAGUGGCGGACGGGUGAGUAACGCGUGGAGAACCUGCCCUGUACAGGGGGAUAACAGCGAGAAAUUGCUGCUAAAACCGCAUAAGCGCACAGUGCCGCAUGGCACAGUGUAGAAAAACUCCGGUGGUACAGGAUGGCUCCGCGUUGGAUUAGCCAGUUGGCGGGGUAACGGCCCACCAAAGCGACGAUCCAUAGCCGGCCUGAGAGGGUGAACGGCCACAUUGGGACUGAGACACGGCCCAGACUCC